GCAGUCGCCGCGGUAAAACAGAGGGUGCGAGCGUUAAUCGGAUUUACUGGGCGUAAAGCGUGCGUAGGCGGCUUCUUAAGUCAGAGGUGAAAGCCCGGGGCUCAACCCCGGAAUUGCCUUUGAGACUGCAUCGCUUGAAUCCAGGAGAGGUGAGUGGAAUUCCGAGUGUAGAGGUGAAAUUCGUAGAUAUUCGGAAGAACACCAGUGGCGAAGGCGGCUCACUGGACUGGUAUUGACGCUGAGGUGCGAAAGCGUGGGGAGCAAACAGGAUUAGAUACCCGAGUAGUCCCUGUCUCUUAUAC
rnacentral:rRNA from 1 species